UUGAUUUACAUAGGUACAAAAAGAAGUGAGGCAGAUUACAUGAAGAUCUCCUCCUUGUGUUUGUUCAUGAGAUGUGGGAGUUCAGGCAUGAAAUUGUGUAUGGGACUCCUUUACAAGUGGUCUGGUGUUACUGGGUCCUAGGGUGCUGGGAACUCCUUCUAGAGAUCCUUUCUAGGUUCUUCUUGUUCUGAACAAAGAAUUGGUCAAAACAAGUGUAAAAAGUAGUGAGGUUUUACAUUUAUUACAGGCAGGGAAAGAAACAUGCUCUGUAGAAUGAGGUCAGGCCAAUUAAAAGUAGGAAAAGAGUUACACUCUAUAGGGNNNNAGUGGAGCACCGUGAAAGAGAACACAGUGGCCAAGAGCUUAAUGGAAACUGUCUUUUGUAUCUCCCCACUCCUCAGGCUGACGUCAGAUCUAGGCCAUCUUAUCAAAAACCUGCUGGGUUUCUUGUGGGAAGAAUUGAAGACAGCGUUCUCUGAUUGGUCCCAGGUGCAGGGCUUUGAGAAAUGUUUUUCCGCUCAUUUCCUUGAUGUUCAUGAUCAACAGGUCACACUCACUUUGCUCAGCCAGUCUCUCAUCCCCUAAUCUCUUGCCUCUCUGGCGUGAUACUUUUGCUCACUUACUAUGCCAGGAAUAAGCUCCAUUUCCAGUCCAAAAAACAAGAAAGCUUGCCAGGUUUUUCCUUUGCAGGACCUCAAAACUGUAAGCUUUAUCUUCUUUCUGGUCCUCAUGUUUGCUUGUCCUACUGGUGAAAAAGUGUAUGACUUGACUCACUGUGAGCCUGGGACUCUGUAAGCUACAGUGCAGGCCUUGGAGCAGUUUUCCAGGAGGAUUUUGUAGGCAUCAUUUCUGCACAUGAAGUAUUUAGUCCUUUUUCCUUAAUAAUGGGUUGGUCAAGCCUGGAUUUAAAUAAGACAUUUCUGGAAUGGUUACAAAUUUGUUUUAUCCAAUAACCUCAUCACAAAGACAGAUUCUUAUUGAAUAUAUGCACUUAACUACAUUGCCAUGGAAAUUAAAGGGAGUCAAUAAAGGGCUUCUGAUUGCUCGGGUUAGUUUUGCAGACAAAGGCAAUCAAUAUACAGUGUUUUCUACAGUCCUAUCAUUCCUAAGCUCCUUUGUCAAUUCAUUAGCUUAUAACUUGUAUCAAGAUAUUCCAUGGAAUAUGUACAUGGAAUUCUGAAAAGAGAUUUGGAGCAGCUUACCAUUCAAUGGGUGUUUUUUGCAUUUGCACAAAAUUUGUCCACUACAUUCUAGAGAGAAGAGACAGGGUUAUUUAUUUAUUUAUUUUUGCCUCCUAUGAGAAAAGGAUACUAAUCACGAUUAAAUUACUUUUAAAGUUCCAUUGAGUCUAAUUAUUUUCUGUUUUGCUGGAUCUUGGGGAAUAGCAAGUGGCUGUCGCAAGGUUGUGUGCUUCUGAGCUGCAUCUCCAGUCUGCCUGUGCCCUGCUGACCAAGCCUGGUUUCUUUUCAUAUGGCCCUGUGUGGCGUGGCUGGCUCCUUCCUUUGGGGGUCUGUGAGAAUAGCAUACAAUUGGAGAUCAUCAUCUCCUGAUAUGUCAGAAGCACAAAAUCUGAGUAAUAUUAAAGCUUACAUUGAAAAAUAAUUAGAAACACAUGAUGGGAAGAACCCACCCCCAUUUCCAAGGAAAAAGUGUUUCUCAUUCUUUUUUCUUGAAUUAUUUCACCCACAUGCAAUGAUUCAAGGAAAGUGAGAUGGAGCUUACUGUUACAGCAAGGAAAUUCUACAAGUUUUAUUCCACAAGGUAAGAUUUGGUGGUAUACCGUGAGCCAUUUUUAGCUUUAAAUUCCCUUCCUGUUUAUUAAAAUAGCAUUAGACUUGGAGUUGGAGACCACCCUUUUGUGUGUCUAUCUUGCUCUGUGAACUUUUAUGAGAACCAAAUCCUUGAAGUAUUAUUUUCUAUCUCCAUUAUAUAAGAAUCUUGGAUUAUCUAACUCAUUUCAUUCUAUUUCUUUAGGCUUUAAAAGUUUAUCAACGUCUCAUGCUUAGAGGGACAUUGGUAUAUUUCAGUUGGGAACAGAGACAAACAAAUAUAAUAUUUAUCCUUCCUGAUAGAAGGCAAUUGACAGUCACCCUCCAGUUUGUACUUCCAGAACAUUUUUAGAUCAGGUGCCUGCUCUUGCCAACUCCUAGUGAAAUACCAAUUAAAGCAGGGUUUUCCCUUAGUGAUUUAAUGAGAAGAAAUCUUCUUAGUCAACAAAUUAUCUACUUCCUCUAGCCCAGAGCUUGGAGACUCUUGUCUCAUACUGCAGCUAACAAACACAGAAGCCUCUAGGCUAAUAGAUUUGUUUCCAGCUGCUGUAGGUCACUCUGUGUGUUACUUUCCUGGAGCUGCCAGAACAAAACAGUACCACAAACGUGGUGGCUUAAAAGACAAGCCCUAUUUGUCACAGUUCUAGAUGCUAGAAGUGUGAAACCAUGGUGCUGGCAAAGCCGUGCUUCCUCUGAAACCUACAGGAGGGUUCUUCCUUGUCUCUUCCAACUUCUGGUGGCUUCAGGCCUUUCUUGGCUCUAAUCUUUGCCUAUGCCUUCUUGUAACUAUCCCUUUCCAGUGUGUCUUUCUUCACAUGACAUUCUCAUCUUGAACAGCGGCUGGGGAUGGAGCUUAGUGAUGGAGCAACUGCCUAGUGUGUGCAAAGCCCUUGGUUUUAUCCCCAGUACUGGAAAAAAAAAAGACACAGUGUUUUUGGAUUAAGGGUCCAUCCUAUUCCAGCACAAUCUCAUCUUAACUAAUUAUAAUUGUAAUGACCCUUUUCACAUCUAAGAUCACAUUCACAGGUACUGGGGGUUUGUUAGGUCUUCAUCAUAUCUUUUGUGGAAGACUCAAUUCAACUUGUAGUAGCCUGCUUGCUGUAACCAUGGUGAUCUGUCUGGAAUAUUGUUGUUUUUCUCCAUGCCACUAGAAUAGAGAACACAAAGAAGUGACCUGGAGGGAUUCAUAUCAAGCACUUGCAAGAAAAGGAAGGGAAAAGUGUCUUUUGGUAGCAUGGGUUUGUGCAGAGAGGUGCAAAGUCAACCCAAAAGACAAAGACUCUAAUCUAAGAUUGAAUUGCAACCUGAUCAGUGUUGCAUAAUUUGGGGUGUGUUUGUGUGUAUGUGUGUGUGCAUUUGUGUGUGUGUGUGAGACUGUGGAUUCAUCAGCUGUGGAAGUUGAGACAAGAGAGAACAGAAACUAAUGAAAGAUUAUUUACACAGCAUGUAGUAUAGGCCCCAGAUCUCGUGGCCCAGGAAGGUAGGUACUAGACGACCGAGAUCUGGAUGAUCCUGGUUUAUGUUCUUACUUCCUUCACACUGGUGUGACUUGCUUAACCUCUUUGAGCCUCAGAUUCCUCAUGCGUAUUGGCCGACCUCCCUUUGGUUGCUUGUAAGGGGCACUAAGUAGAGUGCCUGGCAAACAAAUACUGAUAGGUGGUCACUAUUAUAGUGAUCUUCAUACAGUCAGUGCAUGUGAGGACACUUGAGGGCAGGGAGUAAGCAGAACCAGCUUUGUCAAAAGGCAGAAUGCAAUACGUGUUUCUAUGACCAUAAUAUGGAGAGGGAACCAUGAAUGGGUCCAUGGAUGUCACCAGGAAGAUUGCACUUCUGUGGAAACUCAUUUAUAAAGUUUUGUUGCCUGGACUGAUAAAACUAGGUACUGUACUUCCCAAAUCUUUCUCCUCUGGCUGAGUCACAGAGCUGGUGUCCUUCUUGCUGCAUGUAACCAGUUAUUUCUCUAAGAGGAAAGAAAAAUAAAUAUUACUCUCUUCACAAAAAU
rnacentral:lncRNA from 1 species